GAUGAAGAACGUAGCGAAAUGCGAUAAGAUGUGUGAAUUGCAGACUUUAGUGAAUCAUCGAAUCUUUGAACGCACAUUGCGCCCCUUGGUAUUCCAUUGGGCAUGCCUGUUCGAGCGUCAUUUACACCCUCAAGCCUAGCUUGGUGUUGGGCGUUGUCCGCAAGGACUCGCCUCAAAUUCAUUGGCAGCGGCAUCGUCAGCUUCUCGCGCAGCACAUUGCGCUUCAGAAGGCUUCUGGCGGGCUCGCGUCCACUAAGAUACCACCCAGUUUGACCUCGAAUCAGGUAGGGAUACCCGCUGAACUUAAUCAUAUCAAUAAGCGGAGGA
rnacentral:misc_RNA from 1 species